CGUGACAUUGUGACGAGUUUGUAGAAGUAUAUAAGCUAGAUACAAACGAACCAGUCGUAUUCCACCUUCAACAUGAAGCUCUUAUUUAUCUGCUUGUUGCUUGCGUUGCUCUAUUUUUCUGCCAUUAUGGCAGCUCCCGUCGCUGGCGGUAAAUAUUGCGAAUACAACUGAAGAUCCUGCAGUGCAGAAAAAGAGGUUUAUAGAACAGUGUGGCUAAAAUCCGCUGUUAAGUCACGAAUAGGCGAGACUUGCGGAUUUUAGGAGUCUGUGCUAUAAAAUUUUAUACGAUUCUCUUGACUAAAAUGGUUCAGUUUUACACGGUGCUGUAUUAUUAAUCAUUUUUUUCGGAAGGCAUUUAAAAGCGUACCUAAAAUUGGUUAAAAUGCGAUUCUGUUUAUGCAAAUAAAAGCUCGAUCGCACAGAUGAUUUAUUAAAACGUCA